UACGUAGGGUGCAAGCGUUUGUCCGGAAUUAUUGGGCGUAAAGAGCUCGUAGGCGGUUUGUCGCGUCUGCUGUGAAAACUCGGGGCUUAACCCCGGGCCUGCAGUGGGUACGGGCAGACUAGAGUGCGGUAGGGGGAGACUGGAAUUCCUGGUGUAGCGGUGAAAUGCGCAGAUAUCAGGAGGAACACCGGUGGCGAAGGCGGGUCUCUGGGCCGAUACUGACGCUGAGGAGCGAAAGCGUGGGGGAGCAAACAGG
rnacentral:rRNA from 1 species